GACGAACCGUGCGAACGUUGUUCGGAAUCACUGGGCUUAAAGGGCGCGUAGGCGGGCGGUCAAGUCAGAGGUGAAAUCCCACGGCUCAACCGUGGAAGUGCCCCUGAUACUGAUCGCCUCGAGGGAGGUAGGGGCGUGCGGAACUUCCGGUGGAGCGGUGAAAUGCGUAGAUAUCGGAAGGAACACCGAUGGCGAAAGCAGCGCGCUGGACCUUUACUGACGCUGAGGCGCGAAAGCCAGGGGAGCAAACGG
rnacentral:rRNA from 1 species